rnacentral:lncRNA from 1 species
GCCCUGGAAUGUCAAGGCCGGCCCUGCCAAUAUUUAACAUGUUCGGCCAAGCACCAACAUGGCAGACACGGGGAAUUAAAAAAAAAAAAACGAACGAAAAUCCACAUAUUUAAAAUAACACAACUCUUCAUUUGCAAAAAACGAUUUAUUACUUUGAAAAAGUGCAUCUAAGUUACUGUAGUUUCUCCUUCCUCCCAUUCCCCCUCAUUCAACCCUCACCAUGUCCUCCACUGAUUUCUCCCUUCCUUGCCAUCUCCUCCACCACCCCAUGGAGGUGUCAUCUCGUUUGUCGGCCCCUGCCCAUCCACCGCCAUCUCCUCCGCCGCCGACCGCCAUGUAUGUUUGGAUUCGUGAAUGCAACAAUUAGUUAAUUAAUGGGGGAAGGGAUGAACUGGAAGCUACAGUUAAUCGGCGACAUGGAGGAAGAAGUAGCUGCGUUUUUUCGGAGAUUAUGGGUUGAAUACGAGGGAAUGAGAGGAAGAAGAAGCUGUAGUAACUCAGAUGCGCCUUUUCAAAGUAAGAAAUAGUUUUUGCAGAUGAAGAGCUGUGUUAUUUUAAAUACGUGGAUUUUCAUUCGUUUUUUCCUUUUUUUUUAAAUUCUGUAUGUCUGCCAUGUUGGCAUUUGGCCGUAACACGUCAAAUAUCGGUAGCCGGAUAAUUUUUACGAACCACAAAUAAGAAAAAAGUGAAACGAUGGGUAUUGUUUUGUAUUUGACGGGCACUCUUCUGUUUACGAGGCCUGACCCUUAGUCCGCGCAUGUGCUUUCAAG